rnacentral:lncRNA from 1 species
CCCGUGGCCAGGCAGCAUUCCCCGAGCAGUUGUGCUGGACGCUAACGGUCCCGGCGAUUUACCUCUCUCCCGGCUAGGAGACUUUUCUGUGCACUGAACAGGUUAUGGUGAAUUGAAUCAAGACUUCGUACCAUGCACUGGAAAUUUAUCGAGGCAACUGACUGGCUCUCCCUGAAGACCUCAAGUAGCUUCAUCCCACCAGCCUCAAGUUGGAGAAGGAGACAGUUCAGGCCAGAGGCUGCCCAUAGGCAACAAAGUUAAGGUCUUGGGGCCUUCAGAAAAGGAAUAAAAUGGAGGAGGAGGAGUGGGCUGUGCA